CCUACGGGUGGCAGCAGUGGGGAAUAUUGCACAAUGGGGGAAACCCUGAUGCAGCGACGCCGCGUGAAGGAAGAAGGAUUUCGGUAUGUAAAUUUCUAUCAGCAGGGAAGAAAAUGACGGUACCUGACUAAGAAGCCCCGGCUAACUACGGGCCAGCAGCCGCGGUAAUACGUAGGGGGCAAGCGUUAUCCGGAUUUACUGGGUGUAAAGGGGGCGCAGACGGCAGCGCAAGCCAGGAGUGAAAGCCCGGGGCCCAACCCCGGGACGGCUCUUGGAACGGCGCGGCUGGAGUGCGGGAGGGGCAGGCGGAAUUCCUGGUGUAGCGGUGAAAUGCGUAGAUAUCAGGAGGAACACCGGUGGCGAAGGCGGCCUGCUGGACUGCGACUGACGUUGAGGCCCGAAAGCGUGGGGAGCAAACAGGAUUAGAUACCCCAGUAGUC
rnacentral:rRNA from 1 species